GGGAAAAGGGAGAGGAACCAGCCGGCACAGGGAGGGGUCAUCUCCACAACAUUCCAUUUAUACACAGAACUAAACAGACAAGCACAGAGUCACUAUUGCGGUUGCAUCAUAGAGGGCAUAGCGGCAGUCCUUAUCUGGCAGCAUCUUGACAAAGGUGGCGUAGGGGUCGUCGACAGUCUGGCCCACAUCGCCCACCAGGAUCUCCUUGCCCUCCUCCAGGAUGAUGUUCUUCUUGUCCUCACUCAGGCAGAAGAGCACCGCCUUCUUGCGCUUCUUCACCUCCUCUGGCGUUGAAGACUUACGCACCUUCAUGUCGUUGAACACCUUGAUGACACCAUCAGAGACAGCCACACCGGAGGCCUAGGAGACAUGCCACGUAUACGUCAAGAAAAGGAUUCUAGGGAACUGCCCCUUGUUUUUUCAGAAGAUCUCAGUCCACGUCCCGAGUGGUCACUAGUGCCCUUCCCAAGGCAAGUCACUAGUUUUCCCACCCAAGUCACUGUCAAAGAACCAGAUGGGACACAACCUCAGAAUGGCAGCCAUGGCCUCUGAUCACCUAGUUCAACAACCCCUUCCCUCAUUUUACAGGAUAGAAAUGCAAAACUCGUGAAAAGCAGAACCUUGACCAAAAUGUGAACCCAGAAUUAAAAGAUCCACCGGCUACUGACUCAUUUGCUACUCACAGUACUUGCUCUCAGCCUUUGGAUAAAACUGGUGAUUUAGAACUUCGGAUAUGGAGGACCCAAACACCUGAGCCAAGACUCCUCUUCAGAAAGAGCCAAGACCCCACAAUGCUAGAUGGGACCCCAAGGACACCGAACAGUUACAACAAACCCACCAGAACUGCUUAAUACAGUUACUACACAAACGACCCCUGUUCCCAGCUAGGCUCUUUCCCAACCAAGACAAGAAUUGCAACCCCCAUUAAGGACCCUGCCCGACAACUCCCUUCUUCCGGGAAUGGUGCUAGGCCCCAGAAGUCGCUGAUAAAAAUUAACAUGCCAAACUCAAGUGCCCAGAGGCCUCGAGGUCUUUAAACUCUUCCUACUCUGCGUCGUGCUUCGGGGUGCCCGAGCCAGGAGAGGGAGGGGCAAUCCAAGGUAAAUCUGGU
rnacentral:lncRNA from 1 species